rnacentral:lncRNA from 13 species
GCAUACUCUUGACCGUCUUCUUUGAAUACUAGUUCUCUUUUUUCCGAUUCAUUCUCAUUCUUACCUCUACGUCUGUUUUUACCUCCUUUACCUUUAUUCUUGGGCAUGGCGGUGGCAGCGACCUCGCAGCGUCUCUAACUUCUUUCCGGGUGGCGGCGGUCGCUGCUCCGAAGGGCGACACGAGAGAGAGCGCAGGAUGAAGCAGGUGCUGGAGGCCAGGCAGCGUGCGCGGGAGAAGCUCGCGACCUAGGUCUUAACCGCCAGCGUCCACGCUCAGCAACAGCAAAUGGCGUCGUCCGACUUAGCUUUUCAACAUCGAAGGGAAUAGUGAAAGUUAAGUUUUGGAGAAGAAAAGAGAUGUGAAACAAUAUCCUGGAACCAGCCUCUUAAUUGUAGAAGACCAAUAUCAUCUGAAGAAAACAAAAUGUCUGACUUCCCAAAGGAAAAUUCUAGUUCGGUUCUCCAGACAUUCCAUGAAUUCUGUGAGCUAUGCAAGAUCUUUCUGAUGUAUACCUUUUUUGCUCAACUUAACCAUUAUUGUUUCUGUUGUCUGCAAUCAAGAACACUGUCUGCCCAGCAUAUUUUUAAAGUGUUCCAUUACUUUGUGUGUUGUGUUGUGUUGUUUCAUCUGAGGGAUGUGGAGCAUGGAGGGUGGGCAGGGAUGGUGUCAGGUAGUUGAAAGACUUCUUUAGGUUUUGAUAUCCUGACAAAGAGAACUGUAUCACAUGAAUGCUCAAUAAACGGUGACAACUCUAUAAUUGAUUGAGAUUC